rnacentral:lncRNA from 1 species
AUCUACUCCCUGAAGCACCAUCUUCCUUUGAUUCUUUUCCAGUUGUGGGAUGCACUCCACUGGCUUGGCUGUGUAGUACACCAUUGGUUUUCUGCCAAGUAACAGCUCUGGGUGGAGAACAGAGAUACUUCUGCUUGUCUGCUCUGACAGGUGGUCUUGAAAAAAACAGGUCUCCAAGCUGAACUUUUAUUCUGACUCGAAGCGAAAAAAAAGAAAAAGAAAAGAAAAAGCCAGUCUUAACUUGACUCCUAGGGUCUGUUUUAUUUCAAUAGGGAAACAACUUACUAAUUAGGAUUAUUUUUAUUCACAAGACAGCAAGACGUAUGGUCAGCAGUCUGUAGUAUCCCAUUCUUCCAGGCUAUCAUUUACAUCACUGGAUGCCUGUCCUGGUCGGUGCACGCCCUCAACGAUAGACUCAGCGCGAGAGUGAUUUGACUUGAGUUGUUCUGCUCUUCUUGGAAUCACAGAUUGAUCCCACAAAAAAAACUUCUGGGGAAAACAGGCAGUUUCUGCAUAGCACUUGGUAUUCACCUCCCUAAAAACUGUACUCUGAGAGGGAAAGGUACACAGGCUGAGAAUCAAAGGAGAGGGCUCACACAAUGAGCUGAGCCUCUAAUAAAAAUGCACUGACACAGGUAAUGAUGGCUUGGAGAAGGACUGUUCUUACAGCUGGAUGCAGCGAGCAUCCUAACGAAUAGUAGAUUUUUUUUUAAUCUUUUUCUUUUACAUAAGGUAUCUUUUGGGAGGCAAAGUCCUAUACAUAAUUAAGGCAGUUUCUUUUUUAACCAGAUGCAUUGCAAUGUGUGCUCUCUAAACAAAAUAAAUAACCAUG